rnacentral:lncRNA from 1 species
UCGCCCUUGGCGGGCGGGUCCCCUGCACUCCCAGGGCCGGCGAAGCGGCAGGAAGAGAGCACGGACCGCAGACGGCGCGAGGAUAAGAAGUGGGGAUCUCCACGCUUCCCGCACUCCCCCAGUCUCCGGCACCCCGGGUCGCCACUCCACGCCUACCGCUCUGCACGCAAACUAGCCUGGGGGCAGGCCAGGGAGGCUGAGCCGGUUGGGUUUCCCACCGUCCCAGAGCGUUGUCGAAAUUGGGGCCAGAAAAGGCGAAUGAACGAACGUUCCCCCGUAGGGGAAACCAGCGCCGAUCGCAGUGGAAAACCCGCACGUCCUCCCCGGCAGCAGCGGGGAGGCGGGAUGACCAGUCAGGCCUGGAGCGGACCCUAGGACCUCCCUCCGCUUCCCAGCCCAAACUCUGAGCAGGCCUGUGACCCCGGCCCUGAGCCAGAAGAGGAAGUUCAUUCCGGAGGCUGAAGGUCAUUAACCAGAGCCAGAGUGCCAGAGCCGGGUCAGUUUACAGAACCCGCGGCUGUUCUCAGCUCUAGUGUCCACUAGGACUCUUUCUGUCCCUUGGCCAGGCUGGGUUAUCAGAGGAAACCGACACUAAAAUGUCCCUCACAGGAGAGAUCGCUGAGAUACUCUCUCCUGAGAUCUCCGCUUUGCAC